rnacentral:lncRNA from 1 species
AAAUACACAAAAUAAUAAAAAAUAUAAAUAAUAACAACAAAAAAUAAAAACAAAUAAAGAAAAGAAAGAAAAGAGAAAAAAAAAGGUGGUGUUUAAUACAUUACAACCUGAAAAAUAAAGUGAGACUUACAUGUCAUUAAAGAUAGGAAAAUAGUUACAGAUAAAUUAUUUAAUUUUUUUUUCGUUCCGAAACAACUGAAUCAGUAAAAGGGUAUUGCUAAAAUAAUUGUAUAAAAACAACAAAGAGAUGUCUGGAGUCUAAAUAUUUCCAUCUUCUGUGGAUGUGAAAUUUAUCAAGAAGCAAAAUCAGAUUCACUGCAUAAAACUGUUUCCUUUUAGAUUGUUCAUACUCAAUAAAAGCCAAUACUACAUCCUUUCAAAACAGAACAGGCUACAUUCAUUAUAAAGUUACUCCUGAUAAAACUCAACACAUCUUGCCAGAAUUUCUUUGUAAAUGGACAGUUCCAAGAAACAUUUCAACAGAGUCAUCACAAAAAGAGCGACCAUAACCAUGGAAACAGUUUUCUCCUCUCUUACUGGCCAAUUCAACAACUCAGCCGACCAACCCAGCUUCCGCUCUGCUCGGUGUGAGCCAAUGGCGUGCGAGGCUCAAAUCCCAGCGAGCGCUGACGUCACUCGUCCGGAGUGCGGAGUAUGGCAGUGGAUUCAUGAGCUCCGACAGAAGAACACUUCUUCUCCACGAGCUUUGAUAUGGAAACAAUCUGGCUGGAUUAAACUAGUGCUCCGAGAGGAGGAAUGCCAGCUCUGA